rnacentral:lncRNA from 1 species
GUGUACUCUUAACCAUUGAGCUGUCUUUCCAGCCCAGAGGAGAAGCAAGAAAGAAAUAAGGUAGUUAAAUGAAGAAAGUAAGGGUGGGUGGAAAAGUUAAGUUAGAAUAAAAGGUGUGGUGGGAAGGGAAAUGAGAAAAAGGAAGGAAGGAAGAAGGGAGGCAGGGCUUGCUGAUUGUCACCUAUGGCUGUCUGUCAGUGGGUGCAUGCACAAGCCAGAGGUCACCUCUGGUACCUUGCCUCAGGUGCAUCAUCACUGCCUCCUUUUAAGGCAGUGUCUCUGCGGAGAUCUCAGCAAGGAUGCUGUGCUCGUGAGCCCCGAGGGCUGGCCUUGCUGUGCCCACAGUGCUACAGCACAGCACAGGAAGCAAUGGCUGCUGGGACACCAUCACUCUUUCGACUGCUCUGUGUUUGAGUGACACAAGUUAGUAACACAAGAGUACAUUUAUUUCUAUUUAUUAUGGUUUUCAUGUUCAUAUUUUUGUGUGUUUGUGUGUGUGUGUGCAUUAUGUUUGUGUGUGUGCAUGUGUGUUAUGUGUGUGUGUGUGUGCGAGUGUGUGUAUA